GCCCGUACCGUAAACCGACACAGGUGGGUGGGAUGAGUAUUCUAAGGCGCGUGGAAGAACUCUCUUUAAGGAACUCUGCAAAAUAGCACCGUAUCUUCGGUAUAAGGUGUGCCUAGCUUCGUUAAGAAUUUACUUCGUAAGCGAAGAAGGUUACAACAAAGAGUCCCUCCCGACUGUUUACCAUAAACACAGCACUCUGCUAACUCGUAAGAGGAUGUAUAGGGUGUGACGCCUGCCCGGUGCUCGAAGGUUAAUUGAUGACGUUAGCUUACGCGAAGCGUCUGAUCGAAGCCCGAGUAAACGGCGGCCGUAACUAUAACGGUCCUAAGGUAGCGAAAUUCCUUGUCGGUUAAAUACCGACCUGCAUGAAUGGCGUAACGAGAUGGGAGCUGUCUCAAAGAGGGAUCCAGUGAAAUUGUAGUGGAGGUGAAAAUUCCUCCUACCCGCGGCAAGACGGAAAGACCCCGUGGACCUUUACUAUAGCUUGACACUGCUACUUGGAUAAAGAUGCGCAGGAUAGGUGGGAGGCUUCGAUUCGUAGAUCUCGGUUUACGAUGAGCCAUUGUUGAGAUACCACUCUUCUUUAUUCGGGUAGCUAACUAGCCUAAGUUAUCCUUAGGUAGGACAAUGUCUGGUGGGUAGUUUGACUGGGGCGGUCGCCUCCCAAAAUGUAACGGAGGCUUACAAAGGUUGGCUCAGAACGGUUGGAAAUCGUUCGCAGAGUAUAAAGGCAAAAGCCAGCUUAACUGCGAGACAUACACGUCAAGCAGGGACGAAAGUCGGUCUUAGUGAUCCGGUGGUUCUGUGUGGAAGGGCCAUCGCUCAAAGGAUAAAAGGUACCCCGGGGAUAACAGGCUGAUCUCCCCCAAGAGCUCACAUCGACGGGGAGGUUUGGCACCUCGAUGUCGGCUCAUCGCAUCCUGGGGCUGAAGUCGGUCCCAAGGGUUGGGCUGUUCGCCCAUUAAAGCGGUACGCGAGCUGGGUUCAGAACGUCGUGAGACAGUUCGGUCCCUAUCUGCCGUGGGCGUAAGAAGAUUGAGGAGAGUUGACCCUAGUACGAGAGGACCGGGUUGAACCGACCACUGGUGUACCAGUUAUCCUGCCAAGGGUAGCGCUGGGUAGCUAUGUCGGGAUGUGAUAACCGCUGAAAGCAUCUAAGCAGGAAGCCAACUCCAAGAUGAAUCUUCUUUUAAGAGCUCUUAUAGACUAUAAGUUUGAUAGGCUGGGUGUGUAAUGGAUGAAAGUCCUUUAGCUGACCAGUACUAAUAGCUCGUCUGCUUAUCUUU
rnacentral:rRNA from 1 species